rnacentral:rRNA from 1 species
GAUGAACGCUGGCGGCGUGCCUAAUACAUGCAAGUCGAGCGAAUGGAUUAAGAGCUUGCUCUUAUGAAGCUAGCGGCGGACGGGUGGGUAACACGUGGGUAACCUGCCCAUAAGACUGGGAUAACUCGGGGAAACCGGGGCUAAUACCGGAUAACAUUUUGAACCGCAUGGUUCGAAAUUGAAAGGCGGCUUCGGCUGUCAUUUAUGGAUGGACCCGCGUCGCAUGAGCUAGUUGGUGAGGUAACGGCUCACCAAGGCAACGAUGCGUAGCACACCUGAGAGGGUGAUCGGCCACGCUGGGACUGAGACACGGCCCAGACUCCUACGGGAGGCAGCAGUAGGGAAUCUUCCGCAAUGGACGAAAGUCUGACGGAGCAACGCCGCGUGAGUGAUGAAGGCUUUCGGGUCGUAAAACUCUGUUGUUAGGGAAGAACAAGUGCUAGUUGAAUAAGCUGGCACCUUGACGAUACCUAACCAGAAAGCCACGGCUAACUACGUGCCAGCAGCCGCCGUAA